UCCAGUCAGUCUGUAAAUCGACCUCAAACAAAUUGCAACAGAAAAUAUUUUAACUGGUAUAGAAAGUAUAUGGAAUAACAUGAAUCAUAUCAAAAGUCUAGCAAAAUCUAAGUUGCGCAACAUAGAAAAAACGGGUUUUUAUCGCGUUAUUUUUUGUGAUUUUUUUCUGACGACAACGGUCUUCCAUAGGCGAACAAAGCGUUUCCGAUACUCAGAAUAGCGACUGCAUAAUGGCGACAACAACAAACAAAAUAAGUGUAAACAAAAUAAAUGUCAGUAAAGUACACUGUAAAGUGGGGGUACCGCUUUGAGGUAGUCUUCAUUGAUGUAUGCUUGAUUUUGAAAAUAAAAAAAAAUCCAGUAAACUAUAUGUACACUAAAUGAAUUUCAUCAACACACCAGAGCCAAUGGGUAUGCCCGAUCAUGUGUUCUGAGGACACUGUGAUGUAUACGAGUUAAAGAUGAACUCCUUUCGGAUUGGAUAACGGCUGUUUGAUGAUCAUACAAAGACAGUUAAAGGCAACGGAAAGGAAUGCAAGGGAAUAAAUGCUGCCAGUGAGAAAUAAAAUGACAGUUUAAAAGUUGAAUUGGAAUAAUAUAUUCACAUUGAGUGUAGAAAGAUGUACUGUAACCCACAUUACACUAAAAGAGACACUAAGACAGGAAAAGAAAACACUGAUGCCACCAUUGAGAUCAAUGACUGAUAAGUUUUCACAUGACUGAUAAGUUUGUCUGAUACAGUGAGAGCAAGGAUAGAACAGGUUGUAGAGGAUGCUCUUUACCAUCAAACAUGUUUAUGCUAGUCUAAUUUCAGAACUGGAAAAGAUACAGAAGAAUUUCAGGUGCUACCAUCUAGUGAUAAAAAGUGAAAGAUUGGUCGACCAGAAAUUACAGAAGCGAGUGACGCUUUGUAAAAGUCAUGACAUUCUUGUGCUUAUGCAAAGCGAAGAUAUUUUACAAAUUAAAAUUUGCAAAUAUUUUUUUUUUUUUACAUUUUAUGCUCAAAUGUAUCAAAUAUUUGAAAUUGACCUUCCAAAAGGUCUUUUGACCCAAUGUCAUGAUGUUAUUUAAUGACUCAGAAAAAAAUACAACAGAUGUGCUUGAAAGUAUUCAAGUUAAUAUAAAACUCAAUAUUAUUAUCAUAGAUAAUAAAGAUUUCCUUAAUGUUUCCUUAUUUUGUAUAAAAUUACCCCACCCACUAGCUGUACAAUGUUAAUAUAAAUAUUUCAAUAUAUGCAUUAAUUAUUGAUGGAAUGUAAAUUAAAUUCAUAAAACGUUGAAACUUGACAUUUUUCACAUGUACGUAAACCAUUAUGUAUUUUCUGUUUAAUAUUAUAUAACAUAGAGCUUUCAAUAAAUUGUUGAUCUACAGCAAUGUAAAAAUAUAAUAUUACCCCACCCACUUAAGUUAAUUAAUAAAUUUUAGAAAGGUAAAAGUAGUUUCUUUAAACAAAAACAACUUUUUGAUUACUUUAUGUUACUAUAGGGAUAGAUUAAGCUAUAUUUUUAUGCAUAUUAUAUAUAAAACUGAUUGGAAAAUUUUAUGUAUGUAUUACAUUGAGUUUAAAUUAAAAAAAUAAAUACAAUGAUACCCAUAUAUUUGAUCUCAAUUUUUGAAAACAUUCUCCAAUUUAGAUUUUUCUAGACUUUUGAUAUGUUAUACAAUAUAGGUCUGGGGUUUCAAAACACUCAAAAUAUUUUCUGUUGCAAUUUGUUUGAGGUUUGGCUCUAUUUUGAGCUAGAAUGACUGGACUAUA